GCAGUUUGUAGCUCAUGUAAGAGCGUUGGUCUUGUAAACCAAAGGUUGAAUAAUAAUAUUUCUACUGCUU
rnacentral:tRNA from 1 species